ensembl:lncRNA
GCCAUUUAUGUAGCAAAUGGUAGUGCCCAGACUGAAGUGGCAUUUCCAAAUCAGCGUUAGUUGCCAUGUUGGAGGAAGAAGAGCUAAGAAAAGGCUUAAGUGCUGUUAGCAAAUAAACAGGACACAGAACAAGCCAUGACACAUUCUGAGACCAGAUAUUCACUUGGGUUACGAACUGUAAGGACCACAACUGCUGCAGAGGCUGACCUGCUAGAGGAGCAUCUUGGUAGAAUCUGGAACCUGCGCCAGCACCUGGAGGAAUCCAUCUGCAUUAACAACUGCCUGCGGGAGCAACUGGAACACAGGCUCAGCUCCACUGCUGAAAAGUGAUCUAACAGGUCUGCUCCCCAGAAUCCUGGCUUCUCAUCCAUCCUAAAUCUGCUCAUUUGCUGCCUGCUGACUUCUGUGCCCUGGUCCUGUGAUUGGCACGUGGUGGAGCCAGGUCUGCAGGGCCUCCUGCAACCACUCACUGAGAUGGCCUUCCUGCCCACACUCUCCCCCAGGCUGCUGACACUGGGAGGCCAGACCUUUCACGUGCCCUUAUCUUGUCAACAGCGCAGCAGCAACUGCUGCUAUUUAGGAAUAAAGCCUCCUGAACAGCUCACCCAGGGCAUAAGAAACAUGCAAAGAACCCAUGAGGAGGAGCCAGAGGAAAGCCAGGCAUUCGACCUACCAAGCUUUAUGCCCAGGAGGUGAGUCCUCAGGCUUUUCUGCAGGUUUGGGACAGUGUCUUUGGAGACAGAGAAUGAGCAACACAGGGAGCCUCUGUUACCCAAAUAUGUAACUUACCUCCUUGCACAUCCUGGGUCAGGCUUCACCUCUAACUUCUACAGUCCAGGCCUGGAAUCCACAACUCAGUUCUGCAAUGAGAACAGAGUCCUUAGGGAAGAAAACCAGAGGCUUCAGCCUCAGUUCAGUCAUAUUUCCAGGGGAAGGAAGGCAUUCCUGGAUCCCUUUCCUCCCUGGCUACACCAAUCACCAAUUAGAGAAACAAAGAAAGAAGGCAGAGAGAACAGAGCUACUUAGACCCACCAACCCAAACUCCCAUAGCUUUUCUCACUCUAGAAAGGGCUAUUUCCUGACAAUCCCCAACCAAGGGCCCUCAGACUCCAAAGCUUCAGGGAGGAGAAGCUUUAGGAAAUACACCACUUCUGUGCAACCCACUUGCAGAUAUUCAGUCAUUAGUUAUCAAGUUGGACACCAGCCAGUGCC